rnacentral:rRNA from 1 species
AUGAAGAACGUAGCAAAAUGCGAUACUUGGUGUGAAUUGCAGAAUCCCGUGAACCAUCGAGUCUUUGAACGCAAGUUGCGCCCGGAGCCGAGAGGCUGAGGGCAUGCC